rnacentral:rRNA from 1 species
UAGGGAAUCUUGCACAAUGGGCGCAAGCCUGAUGCAGCGACGCCGCGUGAGGGAUGACGGCUUUCGAGUUGUAAAGCCCUUUUCCUGGGGACGAUGAUGACGGUACCCGGGGAAUAAGCACCGGCUAACUCCGUGCCAGCAGCCGCGGUAAGACGGAGGGUGCUAGCGUUGUUCGGAAUGACUGGGCGUAAAGGGCGCGUAGGCGGCCGACCCAGUCGGGUGUGAAAGCCCGGGGCUCAACCCCGGAACGGCACCCGAUACUGGUUGGCUGGAGACCGAGAGAGGUGAGUGGAAUACCCAGUGUAGAGGUGAAAUUCGUAGAUAUUGGGUGGAACACCGGUGGCGAAAGCGGCUCACUGGCUCGGUUCUGACGCUGAGGCGCGAAAGCGUGGGGAGCAAACAG